rnacentral:lncRNA from 1 species
CAAUAUAAGAAAUAUAAAUAUUACAUUAAACAUCUAUCAUAAUUUAUCAUUUGAUACAAUUAAGAAAUGAAAAAAAACUAAAUUAAAAUUCUAUCUGAAAAAUGUAUAGUGAAAUAAAUAAUAACUAAAUACACAACAUAAAAAUAGAAAUAUUAUAUUUUAUAAUUAUCGUAAUAUUAGAAUAAAUAAAUGAAAAUAUAAGAAAAAAUAAAUAUUAAGUAAAUAUAGUAUAUAAGAAAUAAAAAUAUUACAUUAAAUAUAUAUCGUAAUAUUAUCAUUGAUAUAAAAACAAGAAAUUUAGAAUAAAUAAAUAUACAAAAUAAGAAAGAUAAACAAUAAGUAAAUAUACAAUAUAAAAAUGGAAAAACUAAAUUGAGCAUAUAUCUGAAAAAUGCAUAGUGAAAUAAAUAAUAAGUAAAUACACAACAUAAAAAUAUUAGAUUAAACAUUUAUUAUAAUAUUAAAAUAACUAAAUAUAAAAUAUACGAAUCUCUACUAAUAAAAGGGAGCUUUUGAAGCUCCAUAGGGCGUCCACAUAAGCGGAAAAAAAUUAUCCCGAAAGAUGACACGUGGCAUAAAAUAUAGUUUUACUUUUUAAUAUUAAUUAUUUUCGAAAAUUGUAAAAACUAUGUAAACAUACAGCAUUAAAAAAUGGAAGCGUCCACAUCAGCGGAAAAAAUUUAUCCCGAAAGAUGACACAUGGCAUAAAAUAUAGUUUUACAUUUUAAUAUUAAUUAUUUUCGAAAAUUGUAAAAAAUAUGUAAACAUACAGCAUUAAAAAAUGGAAAAACUACAUUAAACAUAUGUAAGAUUACUAUUUUUCACUUAAAAAAAAAAGACGGCUUAUCUCCAUAAUGUAACAUUACCGUUUUAUAAAAAAAAACAAAAAACAUUAUAUAUAAUUUCGAAAAUAAUAAAUAUAAGUAAAACAUACAACAUAAAAAUGGAAAUACUACAUUAAACAUAAAUAUGUUUGACUUCUCUACUAAUAAAAGGGAGCUUUUGAGGCUCCAUAGGGCGUCCACAUCAGCGGAAAAAAUUUAUCCCGAAAGAUGACACGUGGCAUAAAAUAUAGUUUUACAUUUUAAUAUUAAUUAUUUUCGAAAAUUGUAAAAAAUAUGUAAACAUACAGCAUUAAAAAAUGGAAAAACUACAUUAAACAUAUGUAAGAUUACUAUUUUUCACUUAAAAAAAAAAAGACGGCUUAUCUCCAUAAUAUAACAUUGCCGUUUUAUAAAAAAAAAACAAAAAACAUUAUAUAUAAUUUCGAAACUAAUAAAUAUAAGUAAAACAUACAACAUAAAAAUGGAAAUACUACAUUAAACAUAAAUAUGUUUGACUAUUUGUCCAAGUUCUUCUAUUAAACAUUGCCGUUUUACAUUAAAAAUAGAAAAAUACGUAAAGAUUUAAACAUCUAUCUUAAAAUAUAAAAUAUAGACAUUAACUAAAUAUAAAGUAUAAAAAAGAGAAAUACUCAAUAUAUAAAAAAUAAAUAAUAAGUAAAUAUUAUAAAUAUAUAAAUAUAUGAAUUAUAUAUACAAUAAUAAGUAAAUGCACAAUUUUUUAAAAAUGGAAAGAGUAUAUUAAAUAUUAAACAU